rnacentral:misc_RNA from 1 species
AACCCUAAGUUUCAUAAGAAUUUCCCAUCCAUGAUAGGAAUUCCAAUUUUGGAAAGUAGUGGGUACUACACACAAGUUCAAUUUCAAUUUUAGUGUUCCCCAAAUGUAAUUUUGAGAAUUCCCCAAAUAUCUCUAUCUUUCGUCUCCCCUGUUUCUGAUAUGGUAUCUGCAAGUAUACAGACUGUGUCAAAUAAUAAAGUGAUAAGUAAAGUAUCAUUUCUAUGAGGAUUUGUAUUUAAGUACUAA